GCACUGCUGACGAGUCUCACACUGGGACGAAACGACCGUCCAGUGC
rfam:Schistosoma mattheei strain Denwood, Zambia genome assembly, scaffold: SMTD_scaffold0000798